GAUGAACGCUGGCGGCGUGCCUAAUACAUGCAAGUCGAGCGAACGGACGAGACUCUUGCUUCUCUGAUGUUAGCGGCGGACGGGUGAGUAAUACGUGGAUACCCUACCUAUAAGACUGAGAUAACUUCGGGAAACCUGAUCUAAUACCGGAUAAUAUUUUGAACCGCAUGGUUCAAAAGUGAACGACGUUCUUGCUGUCACUUAUUGAUGUAUCCGCGCUGCAUUAGCUAGUUGGUAAGGUAACGGCUUAACAAGGCAACGAUGCAUAGCCGACCUGAGAGGGUGAUCGGCCACACUGGAACUGAGACACGGUCCAGACUCCUACGGGAGGCAGCAGUAGGGAAUAUUCCGCAAUGGGCGAAAGCCUGACGGAGCAAAGCCGCGUGAGUGAUGAAGGUCUUCGGAUCGUAAAACUCUGUUAUUAGGGAAGAACAUAUGUGUAAGAAAAUGUGCACAUCUUGACGGUACCAAAUCAGAAAGCAACGGCUAACUACGUG
rnacentral:rRNA from 1 species